GAGUUUGAUCAUGGCUCAGAUUGAACGCUGGCGGCAUGCCUAACACAUGCAAGUCGAACGGGAUCCAGGCUUCGGCCUGGUGAGAGUGGCGGACGGGUGAGUAACGCGUGGGAACCUGCCCAAUGGUCUGGGAUAACCGCGGGAAACUGCGGCUAAUACCGGAUAAGCCCGAGAGGGGAAAGAUUUAUCGCCGAUGGAGGGGCCCGCGUCCGAUUAGGUAGUUGGUGAGGUAACGGCUCACCAAGCCGACGAUCGGUAGCUGGUCUGAGAGGAUGAUCAGCCACACUGGGACUGAGAUACGGCCCAGACUCCUACGGGAGGCAGCAGUGGGGAAUAUUGGACAAUGGGCGAAAGCCUGAUCCAGCCAUGCCGCGUGAGUGAAGAAGGCCUUAGGGUUGUAAAGCUCUUUUGGCGGGGACGAUAAUGACGGUACCCGCAGAAUAAGCUCCGGCUAACUUCGUGCCAGCCGCCGCUGU
rnacentral:rRNA from 1 species